UGAAGGUGGUGGCUUCUUGUACAAGAAAUGCAAGCUGUCAGACUGAUCCAGUGGUCACAAAUGCAGUUGCCAUCCAGUGCAGUUACCGUAGCACAAUAACUGUUGGAACACAGCUGUCAGAGGGAACCCUAAAACACCGAAGAAGCCACGGUGUCCAAAGUAAGCCAUCAACACGUGUUGUCGGUGUCGGCACUGAGGGUUCACUACUACCACCAUCACCACAAAAGCAACACACUUUUGGGUUAAUGUCAACCGCAGUAAAGGUUGCUCAGCCUCCACCUGUACCCGACUGGUCCCUGGCUGAAACAGAAGAUGAUGAGCAAACUAUGGAUCUUGAUGACAGCAGUUAUGUCCCAGGCUUCUCAGCCAUGGAGGAAUCAAGCAUUGAUCUCCCAGGAUACCACUAAAAGAUGUCCCCAAGUAGGGGAGAUCUGGUACGGUUGUAGCACUUUUUUGUUUUUUCCUUAUGUAGCCCGUAGAACUGAGUACACAGGACACAAUUACUUCUUUGGGGUUCUUUUAUUUGAUUUUAGAUAUGUUGAUUUUCUUUUUGACGGAGGGCAAAUAAAAAGAA